UACGUAGGGGGCAAGCGUUGUCCGGAAUCAUUGGGCGUAAAGAGCGUGUAGGCGGCUUGGUAAGUCCGCUGUGAAAGUCCAGGGCUCAACCCUGGAAUGCCGGUGGAAACUGUCAAGCUUGAGUCCGGAAGAGGCGAGUGGAAUUCCUGGUGUAGCGGUGAAAUGCGUAGAUAUCGGGAGGAACACCAGUGGCGAAGGCGAUCAUCUGGGGUUGUUCUGACACUGAGGAGCGAAAGCUAGGGGAGCAAAGCGGG
rnacentral:rRNA from 1 species